UAUAUAAAAAAAUCUACUCAUAAUCUGUUGUAUUCUGUUCUCUAGUUCAUUGUUUGUCUUUUCAAUAACAUUAAUACAAGUGAUAUAUUCUAGACCUUUAGGCCGGAAUUUACUGGUGUUAGGUAAGGAUUAAUUGUAAUUAUCACACUACUAAGAUAAGUUAAGAGUUAGUUCUGGAAGUCAUAUAAAUACUUUCUUUUCCCUGAAAUGUUACAGUUUUGGAUUUUUUUUUA